UUAAGGGUUAUAUGCUUACGGUGUUGUAUACUAUUCUCGGUGAACAAGUUAACUUAUAAAAGUCUGUUCCUCUAAUUAUAGAAUAAUAUAUAGAAUAAUUAUACAAGAGCUAUUAUUAUUUAAUUGUGUGGGCCGUGUUGCUUGAUUACAUUUGACUCUUCGGCACGUGGGACGCUGCCGGUUUGAAAGACGCAGCUUCACUUGUUUUCUGCACCAAGAUGACGAGGUACGUUGCUUUUCUGCUCCCAUUUUAUCGGAUAAUUUUUCUUAUUUAGUAUCUGUCAAAUUUGCAUGUAUAUCAAAAUAUGUUUGAAACAAACGAAUUGCAAAAGCUGUCAGCUGGAGCAACGAUCGAUACUGGGCAACUUGGGACAAGUGGAUGGAAGUGAUUGACUGGGAAGAUGAGGAAGAGCUGUGCUCCCCAGCAGAAUCACCCUCUGACCAGGCUGACCGUUCCAUCGUGUCACACACCCGAAAGCCAAUUGCCAAGGCAGUUAGCUGGACGGAUGAUGUGUAUUGGGCAGCCUGGGACAAGUGGGAUGAGAUCAUCUGCUGGGGUGAAGAAGGAGAGUGCUCCCCAGCAACUCCACCCAUCAACCAGCCUGGGAGGGAUAAGGGGUUAGACAUGCAUGGGUUAGAGGUUUUUCUGUUAAAUGAAAGGACAGUCUCCAUAAAGCCUGCAGAUGACCACCAAGACAGGCUGAAAAUAGGAGCCGUAGUGGUCGACCUCUGCCAGUUUGAGCUAGAUGGUGUAAAUGAUAAAUUUGAAAUUGUCGAAAUACAAAUUGGAGAGGUCAAAUUGGAGGAGACUGCAGAGAGGGGUUUUAAUUCAGAAUUUGAAUUGGAAAUUAUGGAUGUGGAGAUAGAGGUUGUAGACAGUGAAUUCCAGCUGAAUGCUCUUAAUUGGGAAAUUGCUGGAACUAAAGUGGACAAAUUAUUAGUGGAACACCUGAACAUAAAUAAUCUAGAAGCAGGCAGUGUGAAGGUGUCCACAUCAAAUGGGAAUGUGGUAUAUGUCAAUGGUAUGUGAGUGUGUUUGGUAAUGAUGGGUGUGAAUGGUGUGUGUAAGUGGUGUGUGUAUGAGAAUGGUGAUUGAAUGGUGUGUGUGAGUGACAGGUGUGUGAAUGGUGUGUGUGAGGUAAUGGCAUGUGUGAGUGAGUGUGAGUGGUAAUGGCGUGUGUGAGUGAAUGGUGUGUGUGAGUAUAUGGUGUAUGUGAAUGGUCUAUGUGUGUGUGAAUGGGGAGUGAAUGGUGUGUGAGUGACUGGUGUGUGUCUGGUGUUUAUGAAUGGUGUGUGUGAGUGAAUGCUGUGUGAAUGGUGUUUAUGAAUGGUGUGUGUGUGAGUGAAUGCUGUGUGAGUGACUGGUGUGUGAAUGGUGUUUAUGAAUGGUGUGUGAAUGAAUGGUGAGUUUUUGUGUGUGUGUUUGUGUGUGUGUGUGUGUGUGAAUGAUCUGUGUGUGUGAGCCUGCCCUGUGAUGGGUUGGUGUCCCAUCCUGGGUUGUUCCCUGCCUCGUGCCUGUAGCCUCUGGGAUCCAUCUGACCGCCUGUUCCAAAAGGCAAAUUGAUCCCCACAUCCCUGAACAGGAGAAGCGGUUUUAGAAAAUGGAUAAAUGUUCCCAGAGGUGUGAGGCAACAGUGCUAACCACUGUACCAUGCAUAUGUAUAGGAUAUGUAGAAGAAUACCUGUUGCAGUUAUCUGAUGUGUGUGUUUUUCACUCUCCCUGCCGGCCCCUGGAGGUUUGGGCUUCCCCUUUGAGUCUGGUGCCUCCCAAGGUUUCUUCCUUCUAGGGAGUUUUUCCUUGCCACUGUCGCCUAUGGCUUACUCACUGGGGGCUUUGGGUGGGGGUGCUCUAAAGCGCUUUGAGACAAUGUAAUGUUGUGAUAU